rnacentral:rRNA from 1 species
UACAGAGGGUGCAAGCGUUGUUCGGAAUUAUUGGGCGUAAAGAGCGCGUAGGCGGUCUGCUAAGUCUGGUGUGGAAGCCCUCGGCUUAACCGAGGAAGUGCAUUGGAUACUGGUAGGCUUGAGUAUGAGAGAGGAUUGUGGAAUUCCUGGUGUAGCGGUGAAAUGCGUAGAUAUCAGGAGGAACACCGGUGGCGAAGGCGGCAAUCUGGAUCAUAGCUGACGCUGAGGCGCGAAAGCGUGGGUAGCAAACAGG